rnacentral:rRNA from 1 species
GAUGAACGCUGGCGGCGUGCCUAAUACAUGCAAGUCGAGCGAACAGACGAGGAGCUUGCUCCUCUGACGUUAGCGGCGGACGGGUGAGUAACACGUGGAUAACCUACCUAUAAGACUGGGAUAACUUCGGGAAACCGGAGCUAAUACCGGAUAAUAUCUUGAACCGCAUGGUUCAAUAGUGAAAGACGGUUUUGCUGUCACUUAUAGAUGGAUCCGCGCCGCAUUAGCUAGUUGGUAAGGUAACGGCUUACCAAGGCGACGAUGCGUAGCCGACCUGAGAGGGUGAUCGGCCACACUGGAACUGAGACACGGUCCAGACUCCUAAGGGAGGCAGCAGUAGGGAAUCUUCCGCAAUGGGCGGAAGCCUGACGGAGCAACGCCGCGUGAGUGAUGAAGGUCUUCGGAUCGUAAAACUCUGUUAUUAGGGAAGAACAAAUGUGUAAGUAACUAUGCACGUCUUGACGGUACCUAAUCAGAAAGCCACGGCUAACUACGUG